UCGAGUUCUCUCUUUCUCUUCUUUCUCCUGUCUCCUCAACUAAGAUCUCCCUCUUCUCUCUCUCUUUCCUCUCUCCUCAACUAGAUCUAGGGUUUCGGAUUUCUACUACACCUCACCCUCGUACAGCUGUUUUUCCGGUGGACGUCCCGAUCAAGUCCGAAACAAGGUUCUCUAUUCCGGCGGCUUCAACAGUUCAACACGGUUGGUAGUACUGUAGCAUCGUUUAUUCCAGGCAAUUCGCUUCUACAAAUUCAAUUUCUUAACAAUUUUGGGUAAAAUUAGUCUAUAAAUUUAUAUAAUCAACUAUAGGAGUUGAUUGAUAUAACAUGCAAGGUAGAAAAACCAAUUUUUUUUGCCGAAUUAUUCAAAAUGUGAGCCUUUAUUGGAGUCGAUUGAGAUAAUCAAUUAAUCCUAUCACACUAUAUUUGGUUCGGUUUCUCUGUUUUUUUUUCAAUUGUUUUGCGAUUCUUUGUUAUUGGUUUAAUAUGAUUUUUUUCUUGCUAUUUCUAUAUUAAAUUGUUGUUUUAUUUUCGAUUUUAUUGUGAUUUUUAUUGCAAUUUUCUGGCAAUUUUGUUGACUGAUUAUACUCUAUGUUUGAAUUGAGUAUGCAAAGUUAAAAAUUUUCCACCCAAGUUGUGUAUACUCGUGUUGCUGCAAUUCCUUUUUUUUUUUUUUUUUAGAAGUAUGAUGGUUUAUUUUGUUUUUUGGUUUGUUUGGUUAUUAAUCUGAUGGGGUUUUUAUAUUUGUUGUGGAAUUAGUUUUGUUUGUUGGGUUUCGGGGAUUGGGAUUGAUCUGAUUGGAUUGGGAUUUUGUGGGUUUUCAUUGAAUUAUUGUACUUUAAUCUUAUAAUGUGGAACUGUGAUGGGUUUUUGAGAUAUGGUUGAUUUUGGAUUAUGAGCUUAAUUUGGGUGUUUUUAUUUUUGAGCUUAAUUUAAGCUAGUAUUGCUCUGCUGGUUUAAUUAAAACUACACUACUUCCUGUCUUUGAUUAAUACACACUCUGAGAUCUCUUAUCUUUAUUUGUUGAUGCAAGUGGCUGUCGGAAAUGUUAUCUAUAUUGAAGUGAACAAUGGGGCAGUUAAGUGGGUGGGAAUAAGUGAUGUUGUUUCCACGGAGUUCGACCUUGAGGCAAAGGAGUCUUUCCCACUUCCUAAAGGAGAAGUUCACAAAACAAAACAAAAAAAAUAGGAAAUUGUGCAGAUUGUGGAAUUGACUGAGAUAUCCUAGAACACGAAAGAGUGCAGUAGAAUGAAGUUUGCUACAAAUUGAAGGAGACUUUGCUUUACCUUACCAGAGCUCCUGUGGAAAGCAAAAUAUGGAAGAUGAGAGCGCAUACAUGGCUGAAGUAGAAGAUAACUCACAGCCAAAUCAGGGGAUUUCUCCUGUUUCAGAAUUGAUCAUACAGGAAAAUGGAAAAUUUGGCAAUUCAAGUCAAAAUUUAAAAACUCCUGAGAGUGAUGUUGCAGGAUCAGAUACUGCUGCGUGCAAUAGUAACAAUGCAAUCAAUGAAGAUCAAAAGGUAGAACAACAAAGUCGUGAGGAGAAUGUGACUUUCUACACAGAAGAUAAUGAUAUCAUGGAUGUUAACCCCAAUUCUUCAAGAGAAACCAUUGAUCUGAUUGAAGCUCUAUAUAGACAUUCUAAUCACAAUGUGUGCUUAAAUGACGGUGAAAACAGAUCAGAGCCCUCUUAACAGUUGGAUCUCAGUUUGAGGAGAUUCUUUCCUGGUGUUAUUGAAAAUAAUAGUAGUAAUGAAAAUCAAAUGCUGAAUCAUUUCAACGCAUCAGCUUUUACACGGCAUGUGAACAAGGCAUCACAUAUGUCAAAUUCAAAUCCAAGUUCUAUUUCAAGUCCUUAAGACAAAAUAGGCAAACAUGUUGAUCACUCAUCAGACAAUGCUCUAGAGAGAAGCUACAGUGCUUAGGAUCCUCAGAAAUUCCCACUCAAGGACCUGAAUAUAAAUUCAAAGAAGAGCCAGUGGAGGAGGAGAAAAUACUUGGCUAUGAGAGGAAAAUAACAGUUCUAUGAUAUGUCAGAAGAUAGCAAAAAGUCUAAGCAAAGAAGUCUUGAAAAAGGGAUAGCUUAUGUCUUGUUCAAAACAAGGGUAUGCCUUAUUCUUUGUCUAUGCAACCACUGCAGCUUCUGCCUCGAAAGGCUGCUACCUCACAUCACAAGGUUGCUGCUGCAUGCUUCCAUGCUCCUGCCGAUGUUCUAAUCUACGCUGCUGCUGCUGCUGCUGCUAUGCUCUACGCCACUGCUGCUAAUCUGCUCUACGCUACUAUUGUUAUAUUAUUACAGCCGGUCUGUUUACAAUAUAAAACUAUAUUUUGUGAUUUUUUUUUUUGAAUUAAAAUUGUAAUGUUACAGCUAUAUAUAUUAAUGAAAUUAUAAGUUUAUAUA